CCUUCAUCACUCCAGGCUACAGCGCAGUCAUAGGCUCGUGUCUUUCCAUGAUGGACCACUGCGUGGCUAGACCCCUCUGGGGAGGAGUAGCAGGGUGUGUCAACUGCCACCUGCACCAGCGAUUCUUCUCCCCUCCAUGCUGCACAGCAGCAGGGCGGCUUUCAGCUGCAGUGUCGUGAGCUGAGCCUUUCUGCCUGUGGGAAGAGUGUCCCAUCCCCUGCUCUGCCCAACUCCUGUCCUCUGUAUGGUCCCCCUCCUCCCUCAAAGUCCUCUCUGGUCUUUCCCAAAGAUGGCCUUGUACCCAGAGGGCGUUUCAUGUCUCUGCCAGGCAAUUUCUUGAUUGGAACUGGGUUUUCUCCAGCUCACCCCAGAUCAGCUGCGGCCUGAGGCAGGGAGAAGAGUCUGCGCCAUCUCCAGCAUCCCGUGGGUCAGACAGGUCCAGGGCCAAGCCUGGAGUCAAGGUCUGUCAGUGCUCCAGUUUCCAUCCGGGAGACCUAAUGGGAAGGUGAUGAGGCAAUGUAAAGGUUUGCAUGUCCUCGUGUCUGGACCCAAAAGCGUUGUGCUCAGAUUGUCUGUGGAAGAGCUUUCUCCUCCUGUGCUGCAGUUGUUUCCACACCUCACAGG
rnacentral:lncRNA from 1 species